GACGAACGCUGGCGGCGUGCUUAACACAUGCAAGUCGAACGGUGAAGCGCCUUCCUUUUUGGUGGGUGUGGAUGAGUGGCGAACGGGUGAGUAACACGUGAGUAACCUGCCCCCUUCUUCUGGAUAACCGCAUGAAAGUGUGGCUAAUACGGGAUAUUCUGGGUCUGUCGCAUGAUGGGUCUGGGAAAGAUAUUGUUUCGGUGGGGGAUGGGCUCGCGGCCUAUCAGCUUGUUGGUGGGGUGAUGGCCUACCAAGGCGGUGACGGGUAGCCGGCCUGAGAGGGUGGCCGGUCACACUGGGACUGAGACACGGCCCAGACUCCUACGGGAGGCAGCAGUGGGGAAUAUUGCACAAUGGGCGCAAGCCUGAUGCAGCGACGCCGCGUGAGGGAUGGAGGCCUUCGGGUUGUGAACCUCUUUCGCCAGUGAAGCAGGCCUGCCUCGUUUGUGGGUGGGUUGACGGUAGCUGGAUAAGAAGCGCCGGCUAACUACGU
rnacentral:rRNA from 1 species